AGAGUUUGAUCAUGGCUCAGAUUGAACGCUGGCGGCAGGCCUAACACAUGCAAGUCGAGCGGUAGCACAGAAGAGCUUGCUCUUCGGGUGACGAGCGGCGGACGGGUGAGUAAUGUCUGGGAAACUGCCUGAUGGAGGGGGAUAACUACUGGAAACGGUAGCUAAUACCGCAUAACGUCUUCGGACCAAAGAGGGGGACCUUCGGGCCUCUUGCCAUCGGAUGUGCCCAGAUGGGAUUAGCUAGUAGGUGAGGUAAUGGCUCACCUAGGCGACGAUCCCUAGCUGGUCUGAGAGGAUGACCAGCCACACUGGAACUGAGACACGGUCCAGACUCCUACGGGAGGCAGCAGUGGGGAAUAUUGCACAAUGGGCGCAAGCCUGAUGCAGCCAUGCCGCGUGUGUGAAGAAGGCCUUCGGGUUGUAAAGCACUUUCAGCGGGGAGGAAGGCGAUAAGGUUAAUAACCUUGUCGAUUGACGUUACCCGCAGAAGAAGCACCGGCUAACUCCGUGCCAGCAGCCGCGGUAAUACGGAGGGUGCAAGCGUUAAUCGGAAUGACUGGGCGUAAAGCGCACGCAGGCGGUCUGUUAAGUUGGAUGUGAAAUCCCCGGGCUUAACCUGGGAACUGCAUUCAAAACUGACAGGCUAGAGUCUUGUAGAGGGGGGUAGAAUUCCAGGUGUAGCGGUGAAAUGCGUAGAGAUCUGGAGGAAUACCGGUGGCGAAGGCGGCCCCCUGGACAAAGACUGACGCUCAGGUGCGAAAGCGUGGGGAGCAAACAGGAUUAGAUACCCUGGUAGUCCACGCUGUAAACGAUGUCGACUUGGAGGUUGUGCCCUUGAGGCGUGGCUUCCGGAGCUAACGCGUUAAGUCGACCGCCUGGGGAGUACGGCCGCAAGGUUAAAACUCAAAUGAAUUGACGGGGGCCCGCACAAGCGGUGGAGCAUGUGGUUUAAUUCGAUGCAACGCGAAGAACCUUACCUACUCUUGACAUCCACAGAAUUUGGUAGAGAUACCUUAGUGCCUUCGGGAACUGUGAGACAGGUGCUGCAUGGCUGUCGUCAGCUCGUGUUGUGAAAUGUUGGGUUAAGUCCCGCAACGAGCGCAACCCUUAUCCUUUGUUGCCAGCACGUAAUGGUGGGAACUCAAAGGAGACUGCCGGUGAUAAACCGGAGGAAGGUGGGGAUGACGUCAAGUCAUCAUGGCCCUUACGAGUAGGGCUACACACGUGCUACAAUGGCGUAUACAAAGAGAAGCGAACUCGCGAGAGCAAGCGGACCUCAUAAAGUACGUCGUAGUCCGGAUUGGAGUCUGCAACUCGACUCCAUGAAGUCGGAAUCGCUAGUAAUCGUAGAUCAGAAUGCUACGGUGAAUACGUUCCCGGGCCUUGUACACACCGCCCGUCACACCAUGGGAGUGGGUUGCAAAAGAAGUAGGUAGCUUAACCUUCGGGAGGGCGCUUACCACUUUGUGAUUCAUGACUGGGGUGAAGUCGUAACAAGGUAACCGUAGGGGAACCUGCGGUUGGAUCACCU
rnacentral:rRNA from 1 species